rnacentral:lncRNA from 12 species
CUGGGGUCCGUCCUGGAAAGACCUUCAAAGGACUUGGCCAUUCCUGAGUGAGCGCCAGGAGGGAAUCUGCUCUCAGAGUCAAUUUAGCCAGCCGCACGGGUGGAAGGAAUUUGCCGUUUCUCUUAACAGCGACCCCCUCGUGAUUUAUACGGGGGCCACUGUCCGAAGGCUCCGGCUGACGGAUCACAGUGGAAAAUCAGAUGCCAAGACCCAGGCGGCUCCCUGGGCUAAUUACCUUCAAUGAGACCCAGCUGGCUGGGGGAGCUGGCGGGGCCAGGGCAGGGCCAGAUCCCUGCACCCAGCUCCCUGGGGAUUGGAGGCCUGCCGUGGCUGUGCCUGGGCUUGCUGCCCGUCACCUACCGGGCCCGGGCUGGGGCCACCAAGAAUUCCAGGAGAGCCAGUCUGACCAGCUCUCAGGACACUCAACUCCCACCCCAGCUUCCUGGAGUAGAGGAGGAUCCAGUGGGGACCUAUCUGGGAGGCCUGUGGGGCCAACCCAAGUGUACCUCGAGAACUGGAUGGAAAGUCAGAGAGAUUAAAGGCCCCUGGUUGUGGGCUCAGGUCAGGGACAGCCGAGAUCACCGAUGAACCACAGUAGAAGGAGAGGGGCCAUGAGCAAGCCAUGCUGUGGAGUCGCCAAGAGGGGCAGAGGCCAGUGCCGUGGAGCCACUACCAGCCUCACAACUGACCCAGCGCUCUGCUCCUGCCUUCUUCUCCCUGGGCCACGGGAGUCAGCUCACUCCCAUGCCUGUGAGGCCAGAGCCCAUGGAGGACAGAAGUGGGCGUUAUUGCCAUUACAGAUCAUCUCUGGGCCCUGGACCAGAGGGGUGUAAGUGGAUGGAUGUCUGAAGGAUGGAGAAAUGAAUGAGCAAAGGAAUGGCCCCCAGUCUCCUCUCCUGAGCCACACAGAGCCCCUCUGGCCUUCCCCGCUGGCAGCCCGGUGUCCUUGUGGAGCUGGGUCACUGCAGGAGCUGGGUGUCAGGUGGGCCAGCAGGUGCCCAGGGCAUCUGUGCCCUCUAGCUUGGCUCUGGCCUGGUUCCUCAGGGCACAAACAGG